CACGUAGGGGGCAAGCGUUGUUCGGAAUUACUGGGCGUAAAGGGCUCGUAGGCGGCCAACUAAGUCGGACGUGAAAUCCCUCGGCUUAACCGGGGAACUGCGUCCGAUACUGGAUGGCUUGAGUUUGGGAGAGGGAUGCGGAAUUCCAGGUGUAGCGGUGAAAUGCGUAGAUAUCAGGAGGAACACCUGUGGCGAAAGCGGCUCACUGGACCACAACUGACGCUGAGGCGCGAAAGCUAGGGGAGCAAACGGG
rnacentral:rRNA from 1 species